ensembl:lncRNA
GGCUUUUUCUAGGGCCGCUCCCGCGGCAUAUGGAGGUUCCCAGGCUAGGGGUUGAAUUGGAGCUGUAGCCGCCGGCCUACACCACAGCCACAGUGACUCGGGAUCCGAGCCGUGUCUGUGACCUACACCAUAGCUCAUGGCAACGCCGGAUCCUUAACCCACUGAGCAAGGUCAGGGAUUGAACCCAAAACCUCAUGGUUCCUAGUUGGCUUCAUUAACCACUGUGUCACGACGGGAACGCCGAGAAAAAAAUACUUAACCAGGUAAUGUGUCUGGUUCCUAGACUACUCGGAUGCUGGUUAAGCAUGGCGUUGGGAUGCACGUAGAUUCCUAAAACCUGUUCAUCGAAUUGCCCUGAAUUUCACCCACUGUGUGUGAGACCGCCUUGGUGACAGAGAUGUGUCUUCGGCUAACCAUGUGACCCAGGAAUCGGGGUGCCGCGGUCAAACCCAAUUCGUGAUGUAAACCGGUCUUUUUCCAUUGACUCUGUGCGCUCCCAUCCCCAAGCCUAUGUCUUUCCACUUUUCAUCGAUUUGAUGCAUUUUUCGCACUGUAGUUUCUGUUCCCCUAACCAAUAACCCUGUGAGCAGACGGGCUUUUCCCCGUUCCUGCCGUAGCUUUUUGCCUUCAGAUUUCCUACCAUCUUUCUUCGGCGUGAUAGCUACUUGUCAUACAAGUGUUUACUGCUGUAAUUAUAUACAAUUUUUUGCAAUCUUUCACGUCUGCAACAUUCAGGUAAACAUUACCUUUUCUUGUUUCGACUUUCCCCCCUUAAUGGUUUGAGGUCAAAUGACUGCUACUUAUCCGACAAAAGGUCUUUAUUUCAAUGCAAAAAAGAAAGAGUGCUUUCUAACUUGUUCUGUUUCCUGAGAGUACUUUCUGUUGUUUUUUCGCCAAUGCAUGGCACUAGAUUGACUCUAUAUAUAGCUGUGGCUAUAUAUUUCUAUAAACUCUGGCUUAUAUUUCUUUAUUGUCAAUAUCAAUAUCAGCUGUGAUAAUUCCUCCCGCAGUUAUUGCUGCUGUUUUCAUUGUGAUCAAGCAGACAGCAGUCAUACAAGUGAAAAACACUGAUGUUUUUCUUACCCAGAACAACAGCGUUGAAAAUAGCUUUUGGAGAGAAACAUGACUAGCCUCUCCAAUUCGAAUGCAUCUUUUGGGCAAAGAAUAAAAAAGGAGCAAAGCAGCAAGUCUCUUUUCCUAAAAAUCCCGGAAUCAUCACGGGAGCAUCUUCACCUGCUCUGUCUGCCUUGAGACGGCUCAGGUGACCCGUUCUCAGCAACCACAUGGGUUUUCUCGUGAUGGGAGAGGGACCUCAGUCUCUAGAAGGAGCAGGCAACACCCUUACGUGGUGCAGUAACUACGCCCUUGGGCAUUUUUCCCACCGUGCAAACCUCCAGCCUAGCAUUUAUCACAUGGAACCAUCACUGCUGGUCUCACGGGAGCCGUGCUAAGGCAGAAUCGUGGGCAGAGGCCACGUGCUCCUCAGGCUAAGAGCCCCCCAAGCUCUGUACUUCGAGCAAGUACCCCAUGUUUGGUGAACCAGUGGGGGGUGACUGAAUCCCUGCUGCACAGACCGAGUGAGACAGAGGCCCGCUUCCUCUGCUUCCCUUUCGGAAGUCCCCUAAAUGGCAGGAGACACAGUCAGAGGGAAACUCGGAGAACUUCUACACCAAAACGUUGGGUUUACGUAUCCUGAAUGGAUAUAGCAAUAGGUCAGGAGCCCUGAGUUCCUACAGGUUGUAUUUACAGUCCGCGGGCUUAGGCACUUAAGUUUUACCAGGAAGACAGACUACUGCAGGUCUACCCACACUGACCUCAUUAGGCGAUUUAAAGACAUCGUCUAGUUCAGGAAAACGGAGAAGAAAUUCUGCAUCCGGAUGUCAAACAAGAAAACUAUCAAUGGGUAAGGAAUUAAAAUAAAGCAAGGUUCUUAAUAAAAACACAUCCAUAGAUCAAGGAAAGAGGCAGUUCAGACAGACCCAUGGUAUCAACCUAGCCUUUACGUAUCAAAUCUUUACCUCCUACAAGGAAAUAUGAACGUCAGUCAAGCGCAUCUCUGCUACUCAUGCCUUUCUCUGCAAAUUCUAAAGAAAGGUGCACUUCUCUGCAAAUUCUAAAGAGAGGGAGCUGUGGAUGUAUGAAGGCGCCCUGCUGUGCUGACAGGGGGAAGACGGACAGGAGAAGCAGAGUCAGGACAGCGGGGCACAGGGACAGUCAGAGGCUUGGAGCUCCAGGGAGGACCAUCCGUCAGAAGCGCUUGGCAUGGGUAGGGAACGACGCGCAGCAAUAAACUGUUGGAGGAAAUAAAUGGCAAAGUGUGAACACAGACCCUGGCAGACACACGCCACCCUCCACAGCAUCGUCAAGGCCCUGGGGAUGGAACUCUGGCCCGAGAGCGAGGCGGCGGCCGGAUCUGAUGAUUCCGCCAUUGCUUCGCCACCUCCCUCCUUUAGAAACAUUAAUUUCUCCUUUCUUGGUUCUUUUCCUUAUUAAAGUACAGGUGAUUUAGAACGUGGCACCAAUUUCUGCUGUAUAGCAUGGUGACCCAGUCACACACAGGUAUACAGGCUUUUUCUCACACUGUCUUCCACCACGGUCUGUCCCAAGAGACUGGACAGAGUUCCCUGUGCCGUGUGGUAGGAGCUCACGGCUUAUCCAUUUAAAUGCCAAGAGUUUGUGUCUACCAACCCCAGACUCCCCGCCCAUCCCACUUCCUCCCCAUCCUGGCAACCACACGUCUGUUCUCUAUGUCUGCUUCUGCUUGUAGACAGGUUUAUUUGUGCCAUAUAACAAUUGAUUCACAUAUAUCUAUAUCAUAUAUAUCACAUAUAUGCUUUUCCAAAUUCUUUCUCUUACAGGUUAUUACCAACUACUGAGCAGAGGACACAUGUUGGCUUGUUCUUCGAUCACAUGAAUUACCUUGCUGAAUGGAAUAAUGGUUUUUGAAAAAUGGAAGCAGCAUCCUUCAGCUCUUUUGGGAGCCUCCUCACAACGCACUGGGUGCUGAUGAGCUUUCAUAAUUGCUGUAAUUAAUAAUAUUUCAUUCUUAGCAUUUUCAGUGUUACAUCUUGUCUUUGGACAAUUGACUGACUACGUCCAGCCCGGAUUUGCAGCCUUUGCCCAUGUCCGGGGUGUGAAGACAGCUUCUGCUUCCAGCUGUCAUCGGCCACUGCACGUGGCGUUGGGAAGCGGCGUGUGGGGUGGACUUCUCACUCUUCUAUAUUGUUGAAUCACACUGAUUCCAAGUACAUAGCCUCAAGGAUACAGAAGCAGUAACAUGUACUUAAGUAAUUGGAAAGUGGCCUUUUUAAUAUCUGUUACCUUUGUUUUUACGAUCACUGAAUGGUUAGUUUACCUGAUUUACUUUUGAGUGAUGGUCCUAUUUAGUAAUUGGCUUGCUGAAUUCCUAAAGUUUCCAGUUCCUAAGGUUUCAAUAAUCUGCUCUCUCCAGCUACUGAGAGCCCCAUCCGGGGCGCCCCUCCUCCCCUGAGCUGUUCCCAAGUUUUACAAUCUUCCCUCAAGUCAGGGACAUAACAGCUUAUAAAUAAAGGGCUAAAACAUCCUAGCAAAAGGAAGGAGGCUCCUGGGGUUUUUAAAAUACUGUAUGUAGUGCUGUCAUGAUUCUCAUUGCUUUGUUUCCAAGUAGUAUUCCACCUUAAGUUCAUACUGGGUAGAAUGAAUGGUUUUCAAGGUGCAAUAAUAAAGGCUAAGCUUUCAGUUCCCUUUUUUAAACAUGGACUUCUGAGCAGGGAUGAGCUCUGCCCUCCCAGCCCCGCGUCUCCUUCCACUUUAUGAGCGGGCCGUUUGCUCACUGUCCCUUUCAUGGCAUCCUGGACGCCGCGCCCUUUCCCACGGCAGCAGGAGCAGCUGCUGGGCCGGUCCUCUUGCCACGGAAAGGAAAUUGGCAAGGAAAUCCAACACAGGGGCAAGGGUGAGUCCCUGGGCUCGCUCCGAAGUCCACACGCCACACACACAGGGUUUCUAGGGUGUUUCCAUGACAAAUACGCCUCCCAGAGCUGUAGCUGUGUCACAGCUGUCGGAUGAGCCGCUUUGUUUUAAACAGGCAGCGCUGGGUGUGGGUCUCUCCAUUUCAGAGUGAGACGUUAGGUGACUUUAGGGAGGACUGGUCCUGGUAUGGGGGCCCCGGCACGUUCCUGUCCUGUCUCCUCCACCCUGAGCGUGCUGCUCAGGCCAGCGCAUGGCUCCUCUCUGGGCCAGAGGCUUAAGUGCGGUGCCGGUCGAGGAAGCUGGGGUCUGAUGAGAGUCACUUUGCUAGUAAGCCACGGAGCUGGGCCCCAAAUUUUUCUAGAUACUCUGAGUCACCCGGCCUGACAUGCCAAUUGCUGUUAAUAUUAUUAUUGCUAAUUUUAUCUUGCGCAAACUCAAAUUUAAUUUAAUUAAUUCUAACUGAAAACAGUUUACUUCUCUCCUUUGAUUUCCCUAAUUUAGAAUUUCCAUAAAGCUCUUUAGCAGGGACACCUGUCCACAAGCUGAAAGCCAAUCAGCUAGAAACAUCGCAGUGGUCAGCACAGUGAUGCCUGAACCCGACGGACGACUGAGAACAGGAGACAGAGGCCCACUCCCCGCGCUGCCUCUGACACCCUUUGCCAGUUCCCUUCCAAAGUCAUGUGCCCGAGGCAAGGCUGAUUUCCUCGAGCCUGCUGUGGGGAAACGUACAAGAAAAUGAACGCCGCUGGGCACUUUAAUUUAAAAAAUAUGAAACAAAUAGACGACCUAUAAUUUGAGCUCUCCAGGCAUUGAUUCUUUUCAAUCCCCAGGGUCUUGUCAAUGAAAUAAGUACCUGAUAAGUUGUCAAUAACAACCACAAACAGUGCUGCAAACUGUAAACAAACAAUUCAGGGUCACGAACCGGACGGCGUCCAGUUCCAUGAUUCCCAGUGAGGUUCAACAAAAACUGAAAUCCCAGCACGAGCUGACGAGCAAGUUACGGGGAAUCCACGGCACAGUUAGGCUGGUUUAGACAUGCAUACGAAGCAGCUACCUAUGUGAUUAGACAGCCCUACAGCUGACAUAAAGGCGUAUUAAAAACAAACCAAAAGGGUGAAGAGCACAGACCAGGGAACGCCUGGGCACGGCUGUUACCAUCAGGCAAGAAAAGCUCAAACGCAUCACGAGAGCCCCCAUCACGGUGACCUCUGUGCCGUGGGCGGCUGCGAGGCUGAAUCAGUCUUCUCCCCCUUCCGCAUCAAGUGUCUACCCCUCCGAUUCCACAGGCCGGCCUGGUCGUGGGCCAGGGAGAGGGUGGCAGCCAGAGCGACCUCAGUUCCCUACCGGGUGGUGCAGAGGCCAAGUCCACACCGCUUCGUCCCUGCCCUGACUGACCUGGCAGGGGCUGCCUUUUAUCUACCAUAAGCGAAGCUCACCGUGGAAGAGAGAAAAUGAUGCUUCUUAGGGCAUUCUGUUUAAAAAUUUUUGUUUUUCUUUCUACAGCAGCACCCGCAGCACAUGGAAUUUCCUGGGCCGGGGUGGAAUGGGGCUGCAACGUGGCCUACACCACAGCCACAGCAGCACCGGACUGAAGUCGCAUCUGCAACCUACAAUGCAGCUCGUGGCCACACCAGACCCUUAACCCACGAAGCGAGGUCACGAAUCCAACCUGCACCCUCAAAGAGACAACGCUGUGUCCUUAACCUGCUGAGCCACGGAGGGAACUCCCCAAGAAGUCAUUUUAAAAGAGAGACAGGAUUCCAAAGAUCCAUGGUGUGAACAUACAACUUCGCCAACCCGAUUCAGUUCUCCUCUUGGCCCCAGGAUGAUGGAGACACGGGACCCUUUAGUCUCUGGGUUCUUGACAGGCACGUUCGAACGUGAGCAGCGUUUCUAGCAGUUCCUUUGGUUUGCAAAAUCAAUGAAAAAUGCAGCUGGGGGCCAGGCCUGAAGCGGCCCAUCCUGCACUGAGACGGCCCCGGGAGGAGGAUGGCGCCCCGAGAUUUCAGCUCUCAGGUCUGUGCCCCUCGGCUCUGAGUCACGCCCCUGGCCUUCGCCACCUGCCUAGAGCGCUCCUUGGCACCUGCGCAGACCGCGUCUCAUGGUCUCCGGGUGCAAGACGGAUGCUGAGGCAGCGCCCUGUGCGUCAUGAGCCCGCUGGCCGUCGUCGUUGUCACGGUGUGCACCCCACCCUUCCUGAGGGGCAGAGCUGGUUGCUGACCAGCCACACCCACACGCCCCCGGGGAAGCCGACCUGGUUCCUGCCUGUCAGGAUGGGCCUGACUCAUCUCGGAGGGCUCCGUCCUCACCAGGAGCUGGUCCGGGAGGCUCGGGGUCAACACUGCCGUCGGGCAUUUUUCUGGGAAGGGUUUCCUUUUCCUGUGAGGCUCCCGGGAAAGACAGUCUCUCUCCAUCCUGCGAGAAUUCCGGUGUCUGGAUGGGAUGCAGGGAACAGCCUGCGUGCCCUGGACACCAGCCUGAGGAGGAAGCCAGCCCCAAAGGUGAAACAGGAAAGAGUCCUCGAGGGUGAUUCGAGGCCUCAGAUUUGGCCAACACACCAGGCGUUCCCACGGGGUUCCUGUUCCUGCGAGAAGAGGCCCCCUGUCUGCGGAGGUCUAAGAUGGGGUUCUGCAGCUUGUACUUGUUACCUAGUGCCACAAAUCAACUUAUCUCAAAACUCAGAGGCUGGAAGCCUUAAUAAUUUGUCUCAACAGUGUGUGUGGGUCUGGAACCCAGGCACGGCCCAGUUGAGGGCCUCGGGUUCAAGGCCUCUCACGGGCUGUGACUGAGGUCUUGGCCAGGGCUGUGGUCUCAGCUGCAGGCUCAACUGGGGAGCCUCUGCUUCUAGGAUCGGUCAGCAGCUGCGGCAGGACAGCUCUCAUGGGCAGUGGACUCAGGGCCUCGGUUCCUCAAUGGCUGCUGGCUGGAGGCCCCCUCUGUCCUUGCCGUGUGGCCUCUCCAUAGGGCAGAUGUCACCGUGGCAGCCGGCUUUCCUCGGGGCAAGUGGGUGAGAGGGGCCCCAGAGGGAAGCCACAGACCGUUUAAGCACGAUCUCAAGGGCGACAAGGAGCGCCCACUUCUGCUGCCCAUCCCCCCGGGGGACAUGAGUCCCUGCUCACGGAGAGGGGCUACCCAGGAGGUGGGGGGGCGGAGGGCUACCGUGAGCUCCACAUCUUUCUUCAGGGGUGGCUGCUAAGGCUCCUGAGGCGGUGCUGCCUCUGCGGAGGGCAUCCCGCAGACGGACCUCAGUGUAGGGUCAGAUGCUCCCCAGGACGGCUCCCGCCUCUGAGCAGCUUCAACAGUGAAGAAGCACAUACAGGCCUGAGCACCCAGAGCCGGGAGACGAGGAUGAGCGCCCAGAGGAUAACAGGAGGGAGGGGUAGGUACGCCACGGACGGGCUCCCCGAAAUGGGGAGGCACAGAGAGCCUGCCCCCGCCCCCGCUGACGGGAUGCUGAUGGCGCACACUGAUCUGAGCUCCAAGCUGGGUC